GGUCAGGGACAUUUAGUCAACACCAAACUUAAUAGCAUGAUAUGGAUAAAAAGUGACAUGCAACGGAUACGCUUUUCAGUUUUCUGUUCGUUACAUGUCAGCUUUCCAGCAUGUAUGGAAGAUACUCAAACCAGGCAAAAUAGACCUGAUGAUCCUUUCCACAUUACUGCAACUAUUGCAGACUUUGACUGCAUAAACAACUGCACAUAACGAUGUUUGUGAGCGAGAAGAUAAGGAACAGUAGAUGGGACCAGAGGAAUCAAGUGCAAAAUAAUUCAUGGUGCACAGUGUGUCUCCCUCCAUGUGCUCCCACAAUGUUUAGCCCUAACAAGUAUGCUCUACAUCUUCUAGUGCUACUGUAUUGAAAAGUACAGUGCUGGACAAAAUUUUACUAAACACGCUUCGGUGCAUUCCUUUUCCAGAGUGAUGCCCUAGCAGCGAAUAGGACCAUGCGGACUUGCAAACAGGUGACUGGGUUACCCAUGCACAUGUCUGUAACUCUGUACAGUUCAAUAGACCUUAUGCAUAAUAGCGUGACCCAUCAAUAUCGACAGGAGCAACCCGCAAUUUUACGUACUGCUCCUACGGAUGCUAUACGGAGCCCCAUUCCAAGUCAAAGCUAGCUUGUUUAGCGCCUCUGUCCUCAUCGUGUGCUUGGUUUCGUCUGUUUCAUUUCGUGUUGUCCCAUCGCACUUUUGUCGUUGAUGACAGCGUGUCAGACACUCGGCUCAUCCUUUCUCGUGAUGAGGACUGGACGAAGAACUUGUCUCCGAUACCCUUAAUAACCGAGGUCACAAUAAGGGAGUACUAUGCUGGAGGAUCAAGUUCACUGCGGCAGCUGAACAAAUCAUACAACUUCGCUGUUGAAUCUUACGUCGAUUGCGGCACUGUCAUGACGAACACAGCGGGUAUCAGGUCCGACAAGGUACAUUGCGUGCCAUGUGCUACAGAAGCCAAAGCAAAAAUGGACGACCAUAUGUGACCCAUCUGGUACUGCAGCCAAGCACUGGAACCGUGGUAGACACCCGGUGCCAGUGCCCUGCAGGUGCUGAUGCGUCUUGCAAUCAUGUCAUGGCACUCCUUCGGGUAGUGUCCCUGCUAAAGAUGAAUGGUUUCGAUGAAUCUCCCCCUCAACUUGCAUGUACAGAGCUUCCACAAUGUUGGCGACGGCCGCUGCAAUGAAAGCGAGAAUUGUGCAGGAGGUUAACUGCCAGAAACCUCGAGAAGGUGGGAAGAACAUACCGACAUAUUCUCCCCUAUUUGACCCACGACGGGAAGAAGAGAGUGCAGAUAGUGUGCAUAGUGCCUUUAGAAGACUUGCUGGGCGUUUGGGUAGCCAAGGACAGCUCUUUGCUUUUGCCCUUCAAGAAGGAUCCAAGCUGCCAUUUACUGAGACAAAGUUUGGUUCAGCCCCAUACGAUUCACCUCCGACAUAUUAGCAGUCAGGAAGGCCGGCACACCGCGAAGUUUGGCGAUCUAUGAACAUUGCACUGGAAACUGCAACGGAUGAACCAGCAGUGGCCACCCGUACGGGCCUGUUUGGUGACAGCAUCAUUCCAUUCCAGCCACUUCUUGACAAGUACCAGGUACCAAGAGUACCAAGGUAGCGUGGCUGCUCGAUUGUUUUUCUGCGUGUAUGAAAUUAAUGAGACCACAUGUAUAUUUCAUGCAUAGGCCCUGAAGUUUUCGGGUUUUAUUUUUUCCAAAUUCGGGGGGUAAAAUUCGGGUCAAUCGCUCGAUGUCGAAAAUUCGUGCAAAUUCGGGCAGAAAAAUUACCAUCAGACUGAAUUUGGGGAUAAAUCGGGCUCUAUUGUCGAAUAAACGUUCGUCGUACAGCCUAUCCAGAGUAUGAGAUGUCGAGAUCAACUGUGCAUUUUGUGAAAAAUUAGUAUGUCAUUGCCAUGAGGUGCCUAGCAUAGGUGCAGUUUUGCGGGUAGAAAUCGCGUUUAACCCUAAACCGGUGAACCUCGAUUCGGGGUGCAAAUUCGGGGAAAAAACGGGUUUAACCCUAAAACUUCAGGGUCUACUCAUGCACACACGACAAGAAGGUCAUCUUUGCCUGACAUUGUAAAACCUUUUAUUUUUGCGUGUCCUUGAUUUUCGCGAUUUGAAAAUUUCGCGAAUUAAAGGGUGCUACGUGAAAAACCCUUGACAAAUUGCUAUGCAGCAUGAUUUGUACUUGACCUCUAUUGUUUCUCUCUGACUUUAAGGGCAUUAUUCUCACAAGUGAGGCGGCCAUGGCUCUGGAGAGAAACACCCGGCUAGGUUUUAUGUUGUAUUGAGUGGACUGAAAAGGGUCUUAGUAAUUUGAUUGCCCAGAGUGAUUUGUCCAAGGUACGAGCUAUAGCAUAUGGCAGGAAACACGAAGAUGUUGCUGCACAGGCCUACACUGAUGCGAUGACGCGUCUUGGUCAUUCUGUCCCCGGCUGGGAGCCUCCCAGGACAGGUUUAUAGUAUAUGACCCCACAGAGUCUACACCAAACAGAGUGUUCGAGAUAAGAUGUCCCUAUUCACUGAAAGAUAGCGAGCCGCAGUUCGUCAAAGACAACAUACCGUACAUGGCUAUUGAUGAGGAAGGACACCCAAAACUGCAGUAAGUGUUCAGAAACGGAUGCAUCUACAUUGUUUUAAUGUCAGUGUCAUUGUCUACAUAGUUCUACUUUUACAAGGUGUUUCACCUAAAGUGGUAUGAAAUUAUUUUUAAAGGGUGCGAUAAAAGAAAAUUAGCAGCACUUUUAUGCUACUUGAGUUACAGACUGGUCGUACAUCAAAAAUACUACCUGCUUGUGUUGUGAAAAUUCCUAUGACCUUAAGUGAAACACGCUGUAUGUUGUCUGUCAGUCAGUCACGCACCACUAGUCCCUUAUCUCAAGUGCAAUCGGGAAAUGUGCAAUGACACAUCAUAAGCUGCGAUAUGAUAAAGGUCAACUGUGAUAUUAUACAUGAUGCAAUAUUUUUAUGUUAUACUCUAUACAGAUCUUUUCCUAUACAUACGCGAUGUGCUGUUUAUAACAGUGUCAUCUGUUAACUUGCCCCCAUGGUUUGACAGCAGCCUUUGCAUUCCAUAGACGGUGGCGCUCAGAAUGUAGUAGGAAACAAGCUCAGUGACGCCCAGUGUGUCAAAAUGUGUUUUGUAAUGCGGUGAAAGUUUUGAAAUGCAACUUCAAUAUACUGACGAGGCGAAAGAAAAUAAAAACAUUUCUGCAAUGGA